rnacentral:rRNA from 1 species
AUUGAACGCUGGCGGCAGGCCUAACACAUGCAAGUCGAGCGAGCGGCGGACGGGUGAGUAAUAUAUGGGAACCUGCCUGAUGGAGGGGGAUAACUACUGGAAACGGUAGCUAAUACCGCAUCCCAUCAGAUGUGCCCAGUUGGGAUUAGCUAGUAGGUGGGGUAACGGCUCACCUAGGCGACGAUCCCUAGCUGGUCUGAGAGGAUGACCAGGCACACUGGAACUGGGACAAGGUCCAGACGCCUACGGGAGGCAGCAGUGGGGAUGAUUGCACAAUGGGCGCAAGCCUGAUGCAGCCAUGACGCGUGUGUGAAGAAGGCCUUCGGGUUGUAAAGCACUUUCAGCGGGGAGGCGUUACCCGAAGAAGAAGCACCGGCUAACUCUGAGCCAGCAGCCGCGGUAAUUC